GGGGGUGUAGCUCAGUUGUAGAGCACUUGCCUAGUAGGCAUAGGUCCUGGGUUCAAUCCCCACUACCA
rnacentral:tRNA from 1 species